rnacentral:rRNA from 1 species
ACGAACGCUGGCGGCGUGCUUCACCCAUGCAAGUCGCACGGAAAGGCCCUGCUUUUGUGGGGUGCUCGAGUGGCGAACGGGGGAGUAACACGUGAGUAACCUGCCCUUGACUUUGGGAUAACUUCAGGAAACUGGGGCUAAUACCGGAUAGGAGCUCCUGCUGCAUGGUGGGGGUUGGAAAGUUUCGGCGGUUGGGGAUGGACUCGCGGCUUAUCAGCUUGUUGGUGGGGUAGUGGCUUACCAAGGCUUUGACGGGUAGCCGGCCUGAGAGGGUGACCGGCCACAUUGGGACUGAGAUACGGCCCAGACUCCUACGGGAGGCAGCAGUGGGGAAUAUUGCACAAUGGGCGGAAGCCUGAUGCAGCAACGCCGCGUGCGGGAUGACGGCCUUCGGGUUGUAAACCGCUUUCGCCUGUGACGAAGCGUGAGUGACGGUAAUGGGUAAAGAAGCACCGGCUAACUACGUG